rnacentral:rRNA from 1 species
CUACGGGUCGCACCAGUGGGGAAUAUUGCACAAUGGGGGGAACCCUGAUGCAGCAACGCCGCGUGGAGGAUGACACAUUUCGGUGCGUAAACUCCUUUUAUAUAAGAAGAUAAUGACGGUAUUAUAUGAAUAAGCACCGGCUAACUCCGUGCCAGCAGCCGCGGUAAUACGGGGGGUGCAAGCGUUACUCGGAAUCACUGGGCGUAAAGAGCAUGUAGGCUGGUUUGUAAGUUGGAAGUGAAAUCCUAUGGCUUAACCAUAGAACUGCUUCCAAAACUACUUACCUAGAGUAUGGGAGAGGUAGAUGGAAUUUCUGAUGUAGGGGUAAAAUCCGUAGAGAUCAGAAGGAAUACCGAUUGCGAAGGCGAUCUACUGGAACAUUACUGACGCUCAGAUGCGAAAGCGUGGGGAGCAAACAGGAUUAAAUACCCCUGUAGUC